UGCUAUGAUAUAAUUUGCAUCUUACUCUGUUUUCAGCGACAGUUGCCUACUGUUAGUAAGCUGGUUCAGAAGAGUGAUGAAAAUUCUUCCUGACCC